GUAAAAAGUCCCAAUAUAUAUAGAGUAGAAUCUCUCCUUUUUGUCAAAAGCUUAAUGCAUGCACUAACAAUAGAUCUUAGUUCAAGAUCUGGUGUGCUUUUUAUGAGAGUAGAGGUCUAUUAAUUAUACUAUGAAAUAGUUCCCCCGAUUUUCCUAUUAGAAUCUAAAUAGGAAACUAACCUUUUUUUCCCUUGUUGAAUGCUAACUGACACGAUAAGAUCUGAAUAUAGCUUUUUUAAGUCUAGGUUUAGUUGUUUUUAGCCUUCCUUGUCAAUGAUUAAGUCUUUCCUUUGUAUUUCUAAAUCACACAAAAGUUCAAACCUCAAUUAUGUUGGAUGAUUUAGUUCUUAGGGAUCUUGCAAUCCAAGAAGUUCAAGUUGAUCGUGUGAAGAUCUCAAGUUGUGGCUUCAUUGGAAGUUUCGUGUCUCCCACCAGUGCGACAUGAGAUGAGCUCAGAAGAUGGAGCUACCAUGUUUAUGAAGACCGAGCUUAAUGCUCUUAGGCAUGAUUGAAGAUUGCACAAAGUUGCAGUUGGAGACGAUUUCCUGAUAUUCCGAACUCUGUGACCAUCCAUUCUGGCAUUAGCAAAAACCCCAUUUCUAGCAGAUUUUGG